UACAGUGGUCCCGAGCGUUGUUCGGAUUCAUUGGGCGUAAAGGGUGCGUAGGCGGCGCGGUAAGUCGGGUGUGAAAUCUCGGAGCUUAACUCCGAAACUGCAUUCGAUACUGCCGUGCUUGAGGACUGGAGAGGAGACUGGAAUUUACGGUGUAGCGGUGAAAUGCGUAGAUAUCGAGAGGAACACCUGCGGCGAAGGCGGGUUGCUGGGCUGACACUGACGCUGAGGCGCGAAAGCUAGGGGAGCGAACGGG
rnacentral:rRNA from 1 species